rnacentral:rRNA from 1 species
UACGAAGGGGGCUAGCGUUGUUCGGAAUCACUGGGCGUAAAGGGCGCGUAGGCGGCCGAUCAAGUCGGGGGUGAAAGCCUGUGGCUUAACCACAGAAUGGCCUUCGAUACUGUUUGGCUUGAGACCGGAAGAGGUUAGUGGAACUGCGAGUGUAGAGGUGAAAUUCGUAGAUAUUGGGAAGAACACCGGUGGCGAAGGCGGCGCUCUGGACCGAGACUGACGCUGAGGCGCGAAAGCGUGGGGAGCAAACAGG